UCCACAGUGUGAACUGGGACUCUCUCCUCCACACCCCGCACUCUGCACUGGCUGGCAGGGGCAUGGGGUCUGAGUCAUGGUGCCUGUGUCUGGUGAUAGACAAGGAGGUGACUUGGAGGGCAGGUGCAGAGGGCCCAUCUGCCCUGGAAUGGGGCAGGGACACCACUGGCUCAGGAGGUGAGUGGGCAGGGUCUGGACUCUGCCUGGGACCUUUCUCCUUUGACAGAUGGUCAAGCAGCAACACUCUUUCCCUCAGCAGUGGGGCUAGCACUGGUGGGGAGCCCCACAGGACCAGCUGCUUCCCAGGCACCUUUCUGGGAUGGGCCUGGGACCGGGGCCAGCAGCAGACAUGGGGCAGAGUGAGUCUGACCGCAGGAUGAGCAGGAGAGGACGUCAGCCUUCACUUCGUGCUGUGGAGCUGCCUACACGUCUACCAGCGCAUGAUGGACAAGGCGACGGAUGUGUGCCUCUUCCUGACACAGCUCGGCGAGAUGGUGGGCCAGCUGGCUGUGCUGACCGGGGAGCCCCUCAUCUUCACCAUCAAAGCCAACCGUGACUGCACCUUCCUCAAGAUC
rnacentral:lncRNA from 1 species